ensembl:lncRNA
ACAUGAAAAAGAUGAGGAAAACUGGGAUGCAAAUUUUAGUUAAAUGUUAGCACUCAUGUUAUUGAAAAAAGUCAUUUAACUUUGUGUGUUACUGUUUCUGCCUUUGAAAUGGUGUCUCUACCUAAUGUAAGCAAGUAGUGGGAUCCAAAAGAAAUACAUUUUCCAUGUUUGUUUCAGUCUCACAAAGUUCUUUUCCAGCUAGCAUUUUCCUUUGAAGAACAGAAGACCCAAAGAGGGAAAACUUACUCUGGGCCCUGUUUAGAGUCUGGAAUAGGGUUAACUCAAGGAAAAGUCAACUGUUGCUUAGAGUCGCCAAUUCUGAGUACUCUCAAGAAUAAUACUUCAAAGAAAGUGUACCAACACUCCUCAAAAUCCAAGAGUGCCAAGAAUGCUGUAGGCUCACAGAAAACAGGACUUACCGGCAGCUGUGAUGUCUUUGAGAGAUAGUAAUAUCCUCACCACUUUAGAGUAAACAGGAUCUCUAUGAAGGAAGUAUUAUCUGAGUUUUCUAGAUAAAGAAACAAAAGCUAAGAAGGCUGAAGUAAUUUGCCUAACAUUUUAUAGCCAAUGAGAUGCAGUGCUGGACUGGAGGCUCAGAAUCCUUAGUGACCAAAGCCCUGAUUCCUACACCAACCGUAUGCCUUCUCCGAUUGAUCCAACUAACAUGCAUGUGGGUGUGAUGGGGUGGGUGUCAGUGCAUGGGUGUUUCUCUGCCUUCUAAAAUAAUCAUGAAACUGCAUGUAAGAUUCACAAUUACCCCUUACAAAGGAAAUAUUGCUAUUUUAAAUUAAGGAACCAAUACCAAGUAAAUAAUGGUUUUUUUUUCCUGUACUGUGUUACAAAGUAUAAGUUGAAAGAAUAUUUUAAGCAAACCUCAAAUAUAUUAAAGUUUUAUAACAGAAAAUCACUUAUUUAAAUGUAUUAACUAAAAAAUGCAUAAAAUCAAUUUUUCCCCCGAAGAGCACAAUAUACAACAAACAAGAAGCUGAUUUAAGAUGUACAGGUUGCAAAAAUCCUAAAAGUAAAACGUGUAUACUUUUAAUGUAAGAAUGGUCUUUAUAU